rnacentral:rRNA from 1 species
GACGAACGCUGGCGGCGUGCUUAACACAUGCAAGUCGAACGAUGAAGCUAGAGCUUGCUCUGGUGGAUUAGUGGCGAACGGGUGAGUAACACGUGAGUAACCUGCCCUUGACUCUGGGAUAACUGCUAGAAAUGGUAGCUAAUACCGGAUACGACCCUCGGAGGCAUCUCCAGGGGGUGGAAAGAAUUUCGGUCAAGGAUGGACUCGCAGCCUAUCGGCUAGUUGGUGAGGUAACGGCUCACCAAGGCGACGACGGGUAGCCGGCCUGAGAGGGUGACCGGCCACACUGGGACUGAGACACGGCCCAGACUCCUACGGGAGGCAGCAGUGGGGAAUAUUGCACAAUGGGCGCAAGCCUGAUGCAGCAACGCCGCGUGAGGGAUGACGGCCUUCGGGUUGUAAACCUCUUUUAGUAGGGAAGAAGCGAAAGUGACGGUACCUGCAGAAAAAGCACCGGCUAACUACGUGCCAGCAGCCGCAGUAA